AAUAAGCUAUAUAAGAGCGUACGGUGGAUGCCUAGGCUCUCAGAGGCGAUGAAGGACGUGAUAAGCUGCGAUAAGCUACGGGGAUUGGCACGCACAAUUUGAUCCGUAGAUUUCCGAAUGGGGAAACCCACUAUAUUGAAGAUAUAGUAUCCGUUAAGGAAGCAAACCCAGGGAACUGAAACAUCUAAGUACCUGGAGGAAUAGAAAACAAAGGUGAUUCCGCUAGUAGUGGCGAGCGAACGCGGAAUAGCCCAAACCAAAAUUGUUUCGGCAAUUUUGGGGUUGUAGGA
rnacentral:rRNA from 1 species